UGAUUUCUUGAGCCAGUUGAAGACCUGGAAUAGGAACCAAUUCACCUAUCUUCUGAAACAGCUUGCAAACCCUCAGCGGCAAAAACGAGCUGCAACAGACUGCACAAGAACUCCACUGACAACAGAAGUGGUGGUGAAGCAGAGAGACCUUCUAGCUUCCAAGUACACAUCCAGCAGUGAUCUGGAUGCUUGCCUGCCUGAUGAUGUGCUGAGAAACAAUUUGGAAACUUUGGGGAAGAUGGAAUUUCAGGCCCCUCUCCUUCAAGUGCUAAAGCUGAAACUGGACAAGAUCUUUGGCACGCUGCCUGAAGACUACCUUCCACUAUUAGGAAACAUAGCCAGGAUGUAUACCACAACUGAAAUUGCUAACUGGAAUAUCACUACAGCAGAGACCUUAUCAGCCCUAUUGACAGGAACAUCAUGGCAAGAGGAUCUCCCAAAGGUUACGUCUCUGGUCACUCGGCAUCUAGAAGCUAAUGGCAAUCAGUUAGACGGAACAAUGCUCACAAUGCUAGCUCCACACAUCUGUGCUUUGGAAGAUACUCAGAUAAAAGCCAUCAGCAGUGAGGCCGUCAGAGAGACCAGCAGGCCCAUGAAUACCUCGCUGUGUUCUCAGCGCCAGAAGAAUCUCUUCUAUAGCCAGCUGAGAGCUGCUUACGAGGAGAACCCGAGCUCUCCAGAUGCCUA
rnacentral:lncRNA from 1 species